rnacentral:rRNA from 1 species
UGCAAGUCGAGCGGACAGAUGGGAGCUUGCUCCCUGAUGUUAGCGGCGGACGGGUGAGUAACACGUGGGUAACCUGCCUGUAAGACUGGGAUAACUCCGGGAAACCGGGGCUAAUACCGGAUGGUUGUUUGAACCGCAUGGUUCAAACAUAAAAGGUGGCUUCGGCUACCACUUACAGAUGGACCCGCGGCGCAUUAGCUAGUUGGUGAGGUAACGGCUCACCAAGGCAACGAUGCGUAGCCGACCUGAGAGGGUGAUCGGCCACACUGGGACUGAGACACGGCCCAGACUCCUACGGGAGGCAGCAGUAGGGAAUCUUCCGCAAUGGACGAAAGUCUGACGGAGCAACGCCGCGUGAGUGAUGAAGGUUUUCGGAUCGUAAAGCUCUGUUGUUAGGGAAGAACAAGUACCGUUCGAAUAGGGCGGUACCUUGACGGUACCUAACCAGAAAGCCACGGCUAACUACGUGCCAGCAGCCGCGGUAAUACGUAGGUGGCAAGCGUUGUCCGGAAUUAUUGGGCGUAAAGGGCUCGCAGGCGGUUUCUUAAGUCUGAUGUGAAAGCCCCCGGCUCAACCGGGGAGGGUCAUUGGAAACUGGGGAACUUGAGUGCAGAAGAGGAGAGUGGAAUUCCACGUGUAGCGGUGAAAUGCGUAGAGAUGUGGAGGAACACCAGUGGCGAAGGCGACUCUCUGGUCUGUAACUGACGCUGAGGAGCGAAAGCGUGGGGAGCGAACAGGAUUAGAUACCCUGGUAGUCCACGCCGUAAACGAUGAGUGCUAAGUGUUAGGGGGUUUCCGCCCCUUAGUGCUGCAGCUAACGCAUUAAGCCCUCCGCCUGGGGAGUACGGUCGCAAGACUGAAACUCAAAGGAAUUGAC